GUUUAUCUCAAUGUCAUUAGUCAUUGCAGGCUGUGAUUCUCCUUAUACUUUAGAGUUCCAAAUCAGUUUGGGCAGCUAUUUUGUGCAACUCCAAAGUGUGCCUUAAAAUUGCUCCUGCUUGCAGUAUUCAAAUUUUGUGACUUCAUGUUAUCUUAUGGAAGAGGGUUAACUCUAUUUUAGAACAAGUAGUUAAUUACUGUGAAAAGUUGGGUGCAGAAUCA
rnacentral:misc_RNA from 1 species